CCUCAAUGCGCGACUUUCUACAAUGGCAUUGAUGAAUCUGCACAAAUAAAAAAUAAAUCGCUCGUCGCUCAUAACAUUGGUUCAUACUUCGAAUAAAUAUAAAUGCUGUGCCGCACAUAUAGAUAUAUUUUACCGAGGAUACCAAGGCAGAGCAACUAAAAGCCGUGUAUACCGCAUGAAAACUGCGAGAAAGUGGCUUUUCUGUAAAUGUUUUCAAAGCACAUAAACAACCAACGCAGUGAACAUUUCCGGUACACGUCACCACAAAGUGGCCCUCAGUUUUUGAAAAUACGAAAUAUCUGUAAUUUAUUCCUGCUGGGAAACAAGUAAUAGUCUUGCUCCUAUUUAGAAAGAGCCUGAAAACGAUAUCGCCAAAUCGGAAGUCAAACGUGCGCUUAGAAAAAAUUCGAGUCAGUGUUCUAUCGGUAUUGUAAUGGAUUUGCACGUUCGACCAAGGUAACUUUCAGGAGCAUAUCUACGAUAAGUCGUGAUUAUAGAAUAAAAUUAGACAGUUAUACCUGCAAGAGAUUUCAUUCUAUUUUUGAUUGUGCUAAGAUACUGAGACUGUCACGCUAUGUAGGCUAUCUCUGGACAGAAAUUAAAUAGUUCCAGCAAUUGAUAAUCAAAUGGUUUCAUGCCCUAAGGCACGCUAUUCAUUGGGCCCGGCUGAUUAUAUUUUAAGCGGACCUUCCACUCGCCCACAGGUUAACUCUAGGAAGCUGAUUGUGUUUUUAAAUGCGGAUAUAUAGUGGUCUGAAAAAACUGGGCAUAAUGCAAGUUGUGCAAGCUGACAUAUUAGAGCGGGUACUGCCCAGCACCAGGCGUUUCGCAACGCGAGUAUGUGUGGCGAAUGCUGUGCAUCGUCUGGUGCAGGGAGUCCUGAGAAGGCACAAAAGGCAAACCUCGCUGUCCAAGCAGGGGAUGCGUAGCAAGGAAAAUCACUACUUAUGUGGACACUCUAUUAAGAAAGAAAAUUUUCCUUGAGCUGUAGUUCUGUGGCAGUUUUCAGCAUGCAGCCGAAAGUGCUCGCUUUCAGGGGCGAGGGUGGGGGAGGCAACUGACAAACUUUGCCCCUCCCCUCAGGCUCCCGGUAGAUACGCCUAUCUUCCAUGCCUUCCAUAUAAUUGAGCCUUCAUUCGGAUAUACCACAUUGUUAUGUACAGCCUAAGACAUGGCCCGGAAUCCAAGCAAUGCAAGCCUACACAGGAAGGCAUGGGCUACUCGCCGCACCGAAUAAACCAUUUUCUAGCUUUGCAGUUUGCAUUAACAAUAACACAGUUAUUUCUGUUUCAUAUAGAAAACAAAAAUUGCAGGAUAAAAGCAAAUGCCAUGUUUUACAAGUUAGAACAGCAUGAUAAUUCAUGAACAAGUGCGUAAUUGGUAAAGACACGUCUAAAAAAAUUAUGAACACUUGUGUGUAGCAUGGGAGCGCUGAUAAUUUUCUUUAUGUUGCAGGGCACAGCAGUAUAGGCAUUGCUGAGUUGGCAGUUGGACCAGACGGACUCACAUUUUGGAAGGCUGUUAAUGUAUAGCCAUACGCGCUGGAAUUGCAGGAAGUUGGACGACGCCACCGUUUCCCACGAUCUCCUCGUGCUUGGACCACUGGGGAAGCAGGGAAGGCUGGGUGGCCACGCUGGUUGCCAGGGGGCUAACCCGGUUGCUGCUUUGGUUUUGGGCCUCUGUAAUCUACCGAACGCAGCAGCCGGCAAUACCUCAGCCAGCACAGGCCAUCUACGGGUGGUGCUACAUGAUUACGGCUAACGGCGAUCCGGUGGCGUCCACUGCGCUCGCCUGCUUGCCCGUAUUCGGCCCGUAUUAGUACUCGGAGGCCCAUGCUGUGCUGGCUGCUGUUGUCAUGGUGGUGACGCCGUGCCUCCUUACAGCAGCUACCUACCUCAAGGUCAUGGCAGAGAACGACAAUGGGACCUGGACCACCACGGCAUUAAAUGCGCUUUCCGGUGUCUAUGGCGUGGCCUGCGUUGUGGCCUUAGUGACGGGGGCCUUCAAGGACGCCCUCCCUCCUGAUUGGCAGCUCUUUUGUAGCAAAAUCACAGCCUCCAAGAUCUAGCGGCUGCCACCGAUGUGCUGCCAUCACUGGUCUCUGGGGCUUCAGCAUUCAUUCUAGCCGGAAGGUGGUGCUCUACGGGAAUAGCCAGAGCCAGUACAAGCCACCGCAGUAGUUCAAUAAA